GGAAACGACUGCUAAUACCCAAUAAGCCGAGAGGUAAAAGAUUUAUCGCUCGAAGAGGGGCUCGCGUCCGAUUAGCUAGUUGGUGGGGUAAAGGCUUACCAAGGCAGCGAUCGGUAGCUGGUCUGAGAGGACGAGCAGCCACACUGGGACUGAGACACGGCCCAGACUCCUACGGGAGGCAGCAGUGGGGAAUUUUCCGCAAUGGGCGCAAGCCUGACGGAGCAAUACCGCGUGAGGGAGGAAGGCUUUUGGGUUGUAAACCUCUUUUAUUAAGGAAGAAGAAAGUGACGGUACUUAAAGAAUCAGCAUCGGCUAACUCCGUGCCAGCAGCCGCGGUAAUACGGAGGAUGCAAGCGUUAUCCGGAAUCAUUGGGCGUAAAGCGUCCGCAGGUGGCUAAUCAAGUCUGCUGUUAAAGACAGAAGCUCAACUUCUGAAGAGCAGUGGAAACUGGUAAGCUAGAGUAUGGUAGGGGUUGAGGGAAUUCCCAGUGUAGCGGUGAAAUGCGUAGAUAUUGGGAAGAACACCAGUGGCGAAGGCGCUCAACUGGGCCGUAACUGACACUCAGGGACGAAAGCU
rnacentral:rRNA from 1 species